UAAAUAAGCAAUACAACUGGCCUUCUUUAGACUAGCUGAGUAUCUGGAGCAUCAGCAUUUGUGGGUUUGAUUACAGGAGCAAAAUGGCCAGAAACAAGGAACUUUCUUCUGAAACUAGUCAGUCUAUUCUUGUUCUGAGAAAUGGUUAUUCCAUGCGAGAAACUGCCAAGAAACUGAAGAUCACAUACAACGCUGUGUGCUACUCCCUUCACAGAACAGUGCAAACGGGCUUUAACCAGAAAAGAAAGAGGAGUGGGAGGCCCCAGUGCACAACUGAUUAAGAGGACAAGUACAUUAGAGUGUCUAGAUUGAGAAACAGAUGCCUCACAAGUCCUCAACUGGCAACUUCAUUAAAUAGUACCCGCAAAACACCAGUUUCAAUGUCAACAGAAGGCAAGCAUCCCAGAGUCGCCUCUUCACUGUUGACUUUGAGACUGGUGAUUGAACUCUUUGGCCUGAAUGCUAAGCGUCACAUCUGGAGGCAUCAUCAUGCUGUGGGGGUGUUUUUCAGCGCCAUGGACUGGGAGACUAGUCAGGAUCGAGCCAAAGAUGAACAGAGCAAAGUACAGAGAGAUCCUUGAUGAAAACCUGCUCCAGAGCACUCAGGACCUCAGACUGGGGUGAAGGUUCACCUUUCAACAGGACAACGAUCCUAAGCACACAGCCAAGACAAUGUAGGAGUGGCUUCGGGGGCAAGUCUCUGAAUAUCCUUGAGUGACCCAGCCAGAGCCCAGACUUAAACCUGAUCGAACAUCUCUGGAGAGACCUGAAAAUAGCUGUGCAGGAACUCUCCCCAUUCAACCUGACAGAUCUUGAGAGGAUCUGCAUAGAAGAAUGGGAGAAACUCCCCAAAUACAGGUGUGCAAAGCUUCUAGCAUCAUACCAAAGAAGACUUGAGGCUGUAAUCGCUGCCAAAGGUGCUUCAACAAAGGGUCUGAAUACUUAAGUAAAUUAAAUAUUUUACACAAGUAUUCAAAAUCAAAAAUAAUGAUUUUGCUUUGUCGUUAUGGGUUAUUGUGUGUACAUUGAUGAGGAAAAAACAAACUUAAUUAAAUUUAGAAUAAGGCUGUAACCUAACAAAAUGUGGAAAAUGUCAAGGGGUUCGAAUACUUUCCGAAGGCACUGUAUACACGGAGUACCAGUACCAGAUCAAUGUGCAGCGGUAGAACUUUUGGAGGAUCUGAGGAACCAGGCCAAAUCUUUUCAGCCUCCAGAGUGGGAAGAGGCUCUGCCGUGCCCCUUUCACGACAGUGCGGGUGUGUGUGGACCAUGUUAAGUCCUUAGUGAUGUGGACAACAAGGAACUUGAAGCUCUCGAUCCACUCCACAACAGCCCGUCAAUGUGGAUGGGGACGUGCUCUCCCUUUUUUCUCCUAUAAUCCACGAUCAGCUCCUUGGUCUUGUUGAUGUUGAGGGAGAGGUUGUUGUCACAUUUAUAUUAUUGGCUUUAUUUUUUGCCUCUUGGGUUCCCCAUGGGUCUGGGCCCUGGGGCUUCAGCCCCAGUAAGCCCCUAUAUUUACCCAGCCCUAUGUACUGUGGUAGGAGGUGAGAGUUGAAGCUUGGGAGAGAGAUUGUAGGUGGGAGGUUGAAUUGUGUUGUUUUAUGGGAUGUUAGGUCAAGCGAAACUCUUUGGCCACAGUGAAGGGAUGUGGCUGUGAUGCACAUCCACCUCUAAUUAGGUGUGUUGAUUACAUCACAGCAGGAAGCUGGAGACCAACCAGCAGGAUGUGGGGUAUUGUUUCGCAACUAGGAAUAGGUACAGAUGGAAGGGGGUUGGGAUGGAGGUGUGUGUGCUUUUGUGUGUGUUCAUGUGAGUGCACGUUUGUAUCGGGGGAAGUGUUUACUCACAACUUUCCUGAAACCCACAACUUGUAGUCUCCAAACAAGUCUCAAUCAGACAUUGAAACGCUGGCAUUGACUUUUAGCUUUGAAUGCUUAUCAGCUCUAACAAUGACAUUUUGUUACGAAAUCCCAAAACUGAUGUUUACUGUAAACCACAUUUCUUUGAGCACUGGUGAUAGUUGUCCUGGCGCUGCCUUGAACAUUUUAGAUGGUCUUGAGGAGAAUGCUGAAGUACUGCCAGACAGUGCAGGAUUUGUUUUUUCAUCAGACCUUGAUAAAUGGGAGUGCAUUUUUUUAUUUUUUUUAUCUGGACUGUGUCAGCACCUGAAUACAACACUGUACAAUUGGACUGCAUCUCGUUAUGGGGUGAAAAGUUGAAUCUUGAAGUGUUAUGUCUACAACUAUUCAAACCACACCUACAACGUCUUUAUUAAAGGCCGAUAAUGUACCUGAUUUCAAUUGAGCAGGUAUACAAUUGGUUUUGAACUCUAUUUCAUAGGUACAAGGUGAAAGAGUGGUUAAUACAGCGGAUGAAAAGGUACAGAAUACACUGCAGUUGUACAUCUCUGAAUGUUCUGAACAUUACCUCUCUCCUUUUUAAAACCCCAAAUAGCCUUGCAACUGUAUGACCUACAAAAUGUUUUUGUGUAUUUUUCUGCUUGCUACUAUCUGAAAGAGCAUGUCGUCCUGAUAAUGACUGGACUGGAGCAGAGGUGAGCUGAGGUGGGUCUGGGCCUGUGAGGCUAAUGUUCUGUGUCUGUAUUACAGGUGGAGCACUGGGGCCAUAUCUGCAGCACCAGGCCUAGCUCUGAUCCACUGUGACAGUCUCCCUUUAGCAAGCGAUACGAUGCACCAAGUCUGGAACCAACAGGACCAUGAAUGGCAUCCAUUCUCAAGCCAUAGACUGCUAAAUAGUUAACCAAAUACCUACCCAGAUCAUCUGCAUUGACCCCCUUGUGCACUAAAACUUUGAAUAAUCACAUUAGCUGCUGCCACCGCCUAUUAUCAAUCCUGGUGCCUCAUCUUUAUCCCUACCUACAGUAUACAGUACUUACAUAUUUACCUCAAUUACCUCGUACGCAUGCACAUUGACUCUGUGCAGGUACAGAGCCAAAUAAUCGUUACUCACUGUGUUUUUAUUUCUUGUGUUAUUAGUUUUCUAUUUUGUAUUUUAUUUUGUAUCUGCAUUGUUGAGAAGGGCCCGUAAGUAAGCAUUUCACUGUUUGUGUCCACUUGUUGUUUACAAAGCAUGUGAAAAAUAACAUUUGAUUUGCCCUGUUUUUAUUUUGCUCCCGAACAUAAAAUUACACAAUUGUCAUACAUCUGCCCCAGCGCAUUCACAGCAGAGCUGCGCUUUGUCGAAUAGCAAUCAGCCACGCUUUGCCCCGUGACCCUAAGUGGCUGUGAUAGCUUUGUCUCCUCCAUCCUCUUAUCUCCACGCUUCUAAUGGUUAAACAGUUUUACACCCAGCCCUGCAACAGCACAGCUGAACAGAGCAUUAUGUUAUAUCACUAGGCUAGCUCCCUACAGCAAAUGUGUUCCGAGGGGCUAAACGGAAAAGAGAGAGAGUGUGGUGAAUGUAUAAUGUAACUCGUGUUAUCAUUGCUAUCUCUGCACAUUGAGACAUUAUUUAAAUAUGGCUAAUUUGCCAGUUUGAAUAGAAUAGCAAUCUGUACAGUUUCCAUCUCUUUAUUAUCUGCUCAGCAUUGCAUGAGUGAAGUUCAGGGAGUGAAGAAGAAGACAUACCAGACAGAAUGGUCAAAGUAAAUCAAGUAAACAACACAUCAAGCUAUGAAAGGUGAAUAGACAUGUUUUGUUUGUCCCUAAACCUUCCAGCAAUGCUUACAUUGCAGAUUAUGUUUAUAGACACGCACACACACACACACACACACACACACACACAGCAUCUCAUCACAGAUGAUCAUGUCAGCAGACACCUUGUUUCCUGCUUAAAAUGGAUCACUUUGUAAUGGUAGUUGUGAACUUUACCCCAAAGUCAACAUAUAGGCUGACAUACCAUUCAUGC
ensembl:lncRNA